rnacentral:rRNA from 1 species
CAGCCGCCGCGGUAAUACGUAGGGGUGCGAGCGUUAAUCGGAAUUACUGGGCGUAAAGCGUGCGCAGGCGGUUCGUUAAGACAGAUGUGAAAUCCCCGGGCUUAACCUGGGAACUGCAUUUGUGACUGGCGAGCUAGAGUAUGGCAGAGGGGGGUAGAAUUCCACGUGUAGCAGUGAAAUGCGUAGAGAUGUGGAGGAAUACCGAUGGCGAAGGCAGCCCCCUGGGCCAAUACUGACGCUCAUGCACGAAAGCGUGGGGAGCAAACAGGAUUAGAGACCCCCGUAGUCCCUGUCUCUUAUA